rnacentral:rRNA from 1 species
UACGUAGGUGGCAAGCGUUGUCCGGAUUUAUUGGGUUUAAAGGGCGCGUAGGCGGGCUGUCAAGUCUGGGGUGAAAUCCCGCGGCUCAACCGUGGAACUGCCUCAGAUACUGACGGCCUCGAGGGAGGUAGGGGCGAGCGGAACUAAUGGUGGAGCGGUGAAAUGCGUUGAUAUCAUUAGGAACUCCGGUGGCGAAAGCGGCUCGCUGGACCUUUUCUGACGCUGAUGCGCGAAAGCUAGGGGAGCAAACGGG